CAUCAGUUGGUUCACAUUCAUCAUUAUUUCGGUCUCUUCUGUUUAAUCUGGUAUGCACACCCCUAUGCAUAUAUUUGGAGAACAAAUUCAUACAAUCUAUUCCCACUCGUGUCUCUGCUAUGCAACCUUUUGGAUAACAUCUAUUGCGGAUGUAUGAUUUGAAUGUACCCAUUUCUCUCUCAGUGGAAUACAUCCAUCGAUUUUGAGCAGGACCUCCUAAUCUUACUUCAUUCGCCAAAUAAAUAGGCAAAUGGAUCAUUAUAUCAAAAAAUGAAGGAGGAAUAAUUCGCUCUAACUGAUUUAUUGUUUAUAUCAUCUCAACUUCUAAGCAAUCCAGUUCCUCCAAUGUGAUUUCUUUUAUACACAAACGACAGAAGAAGGAACUAAGACGAAUCAAAGGAAUAGCCACAUGAUCUGGAAGAAUGCUUUUCAUUGGUAUUGGAAGAAAGUAAUGUAACACGAAAUUAGCAUCAUGGGUUUUAUAAUUGGACACUUUUCUUUCAUCCAUAUGCACACACCUAGAUAUAUUGGAGGCACUACCGUCAGGAAGCUUGGCUGUCCUUAAAACUCCAAAAAAAAUUGAUUUCUCUCCAUUUUACAUUGAGAAGCAUGCUUUUGAAAACUUUGUUCUUUUAUUGUCUUCUGUAUCUUUUAAAUGAAGGUUCUUCCUGAUUCCCAUGUCUUUCAAAUCAUACCGGGCUUUUGCAUGAUCCUUUGUUUUGCCAGAAAUAUCCAAAAGAGUUCCAAGUAUCCAUCAACUAUGUUCUUCUGUAUGUACAUUACAUCAAGGUUGUGGCGUAACAAGUUGUGCUGCCAUUAAGGCUCAAGCUCACUAUCAACCUCAAGAGAUUUGACAUAUCGUAAAGCUCCACAAGUAUGACAAAAUUCAUCAUCCUUAUGAUCAUUCCUGAACAACAUGCAACCAUUGGGACAUGCAUCAAUUUUCUCAUAAUCAAGACCGAGAUUCAUAACCAUAGACUUCGUUUUAUUGUAGGACGGAGGAAUUUUACACUCAGGCAUCGCCUCUUAUAAUAACUCUAAUAGAGAAGUGAAUGAUUCAUUGCUCCAUCCAUGCUAACACUUCAAUAAAUAUAAACAAAGUGUGAAUGAUAAUGUAGAGAAUCCAGUACAAUAAGGAUAUAAUUCUUGGUUUGCCUCUUCAACCAAGUUAUAGAAUUUCUUGGCAUCUU